GAGUCUGUUGGGUCAUUUUGUUGGGUAAUUUAAUUUCUUUUUAAACACUUUUGGGUAGUUUCAAUUUACCAGGUGUUGGGUUAAACCUGCUGGGUUGCAUCGCUGGGUUGUUUCAGGCCAGCGCUGGGUUAUUUAACGCGCCUUGAAGAUGUUUAAAUCGCUCCCCAACUGUCACUUUGGAAGAACAACGGGGCAAAGCCACGGCUUUCAACUGUUUUAAGAAAAGCGCAUGGAUACAUUUGUGAGAGAAAAACUCGUCGAGUGCAGUCUUAUUGAGGCGUCUAACGGUUGGAACAAACAUGGAAUUCCUUAACUGAGCAGAGUCCACAAAACCCCAUCCAAUUGUUGUGGCGAUUUAAAAAUGACAGCAGAUCUCUUAGGCAUUGAUCAUAAUCAAUGGACAGGUCACUGUAGCCACCCGUAUCCAGUUCGUAUCCAGACCAGAUGGAGAUCAUCAUCUAGAAAAGACCUCUACAUCCCUGAAAGACCGCGGAGACCAGGACAACUAGAGCCCCAGAUACAGAUCCCCUGUAAAGACCUUGUCUCAGAGGACCACCAGGACAAGACCACAGGAAACAGAUUCUUCUGCACAAUCUGACUUUGCUGCAGCCUGGAAUUGAUCUACUGGUUUCGUCUGGUCACAGGAGAACUGACCCCCCAACUGAGCCUGGUUUCUCCCAAGGUUUUUUCUCCAUUCUGUCACCGAUGGAGUUUUUGUUCCUUGUUUUUCUUUAGUUGGGUACAAUUAAUAUCAAGCGAUAUCAUCCACUUGAUUGCACAGAGGGACGAUACAUCAAUGAAUCAAUGACGAAUUGACUUUAACUGAAAAUUGAGUGUUUACUUUUGUCCCUUUGCAUUAUUACACACUAUUUUCCUAUUUAAUACUGUAAAGCUGCUAUGAUGCAGUAUUUGAUCAAUAUGACAGGCUUAUUACUCAUAAUACAUGGAAAAUACAGCUACAAACUGACUUUUUCCAUUUGAAAUUUGGCAGUCACUAAACUGAAACCGUAAUUUUUGUUCAGUGUUUUUGAAACAGUGUUUUUGUUCAAGAUUUGCAAUUGUGUUUUGGAAUGUCACAAUUUGUCACAUGUGGAAAACGCAAUUGAAAAUAUAAUUAGCUAUUCCUAAUUAUUAAAAUUGUCCUUCCAUAGACAGGCUCUAUAACGGAGUACACUGCUCUCAGGUGUAGAUCUUUGCUUCAGAGCUUAAGUGUUUGACAAUAGUUCACCCAAAAAUGAAAAUUGUCACUAAUUAUUCAACCUGGUCUGAAAGCUCUCGAAUAUCAACGAAAACAUCUUAACUUGUGUUCUGAAGAUGAACGAAGGGCUUACGGGUUUGUAACGACAUGAAGUUGAGUAAUAAAUGACAGAAUUUUUAUUUUUGGGUGAACUAUAUGUUGAACUACCCUAAGCAGUGCACAUCUACCUACGUAGGAGUCUUUAUAUACUUGAUAUAAAUUUAAGGACAUCUUUAAAUGAUUUUACAUUUAAAUUUAAAGAAUGUUAAUUGUCAAUGUCAUUUCACUGUGUAUUUAAAUAGCUAAAAAUCUCAAAAUGUAAUAGUUAAACAGCUAGACACAGGUCAUUCAGAAAUAAUUUUCUUAUUUAUUGCAACUGUAUUUCUGUGAUUUUUAUUUAUUUAUUUUGCAUUUGCUGGAAACAAAAAAAGGGAAAAUUCCAUGUUGUUUGUCAUUGGUAAAAAAUUUUGAAUGUCAGAUGGCAUUAAAAAUAUUUUUUAACAGUCUAAAUAACCUGUAUUCUUCAUUAUUUAUUAAUCCAUGAUUGCUUUGUUAAGCAAAAGUGAAAUUAUGAGAAUAACCCAGCAAGAAUAACCCAGAAUCAUAAAAAUGCAAACCCACAAAUGGUAAAAAUGACUCUAUCUUGGGUUUUCUCAAUAACCCAGCAUGCUGGGUUAAAAUGUGUAAACCAGCAUGCUGGGUUACUUUAACCCAGCACGUGUUCUGUCCAAUAUUUACCCAGUGCUGGGUUGCCAAUUGGGUUAUUUUUAACCCAGCCAUUUUUAGAGUGUGUAGAUGCCAUGAAAUUUAAAAUCAACUCAUUCUCCCCUUAAAAUGAUACAUUUUCUCAGUUUAAACAUUUGAUAUGUCAUAAUUUUGUAUUCUGAAUAAAAUAUUGAAAUCAUUGCAUUCUG